CUCUGCACAUAAUUUAAGGGCACAGUUAUGGUCUGAAAUAGAAAAUAUUUUGCUUUUAUAAAAAAAAUAAUCUGAAGGUUGGCAUGUAAGCUGCUCUUCUGUCUGUGAGAAAUCUGCUUAUCACCUGGAGGAAAUAUUUAAAAUGGCUCUUGCAGAAUGCUGGUACUGAUCGAUGGUGUCUUUUAUAAGUGCUUUUAAAAAGGCUGGUAAGCCUGACUAGUCUGUUGAUAAGCAAUUAGCACUGUGGAUUCUUUCUUCACCUCAGACAGGUUUUUUGACAAAAUUAUGAUGGGACUGUACAUAAUAACACUUGAACUACAGAAGAAAUUACAAUUUCCUAAAUACGACAUGGGGAUUACAAAUGGCAGUACAGAAUAAUGAGCAGAGCUAAUUAAAUUUUACCUGUGCAGACUACAUUUUGUCUCUUGCUCCUGCUUUAGUUAGAAGACUCAAACAUGGGUGAGUUGCUUUAGAUUAAAGUAAAAACUAUAGUGCUCUCAUCUUCAAACUCAAUUAAAAGUAAUUACCAUUUCUUGAAAACUUUUUCAAGGCAGGGAAUUGCAGGAUUACACUUUUGCAUGUUCUCACAAGUUCCUUUCUCUUGGCACGGAAGCAAGUUGCCAGUCAUCGUAGAAAAUGUUUUGGCAGUACCUUCCUGACACUUCUGUGUGGGAGGUGUAAGAAGAAAUAGGGAAUUCGCUCUUUGCUGCAACCAUUCUUUCAAGAAGUGAGAUUUUUGAGCUGGAGUUGCUUCCUGAGAGCUAAGUAAUGGGGGUUGUCAAAGAUUUCCAAAGAGAGAAUAGCAAGAGUUAUAAAAUGACCUUUAAAAAUAAUAUUUGUUUAAAACUUUUACUACAUGAGCAAUAGCUUGUUGUGAACAGAUUUAUCUGCUGUGUAUGAUCCCUCUUCCACCCAACUCCAGCCUCCUAGAAUCCAAAUUCUGUGCCUCAGAUGCUUUCAGGGAGACUUUUUGUGUUUAGAGCCCUUUGGGUGGGGGGCAGCAGGGAAGCCAGGAGCAGAAAGGAGGAGUGAUGUCCCAGUCACAGCUGUCUCCUCCUCGAUGGCACCUACAAGCCUUGGUAAAACAGGUUUCUUUGGACUCUGCACGAAUUCUGCAAGGUCAAAUGAAGAGGGGAUGGUCCCCACUUCCUCUGACCUCGUGGGGCCUCCCAUCUGUGUCUGAACUGCCUCUCCAAGCUCCAUCUGGCUCCAUCCUCUCCUGUCCAUAUUUUGUGGACAUUUUGUGACAUACACCAGUAGGUGCUGCAGGAGGAAGGGAGAAGAUACCUGCUCAGCCACGGUGUGUGCCCACGUCUUCUGGCUGCUGCUCGAGUCCCAGUAGCUGGGAGAAUAUGGAAUGUGUCGCUUGAGCCGCAUGAAUUGAUUCGCUGGCUCUUCUGUCAGAAAGGGUGCUCCAAGGACACUCGACACAGAAGCUGAUGAAUAUUUGUAAUAUCAGAAUAAUAUGUUAGAUUGUGCACUUCAAUAAUACACUGAUAUCCACAGAAAAUGGUGUUGAAUCUGUAGUUUAUUUAAUAAAAUUCAAAGGUGGUCCUACCUUAGAUUUUACUUAGAAAAAAAAUCUACCUUAGAUUUUACUUAGAAAGUAAAAAGAAACUUUCUUUUUAGACCUGAAGUUAAUAAAACAAAUGCUCUAAAUCAUUAUUUUGUUGUUGAAUCUGAAGUAAAUAAAGUUACAACCUAAUUAAGGCACUAAUUUAUCUUCUUAGACUGUAAUUGCACUAAUCUCAGGUGUGCUGAGAGCCUAAAGGUAUUUAAAAUAACACAAACCCUACCUGUGAAUUUAUCUAUGGUUUCCAAACCUCCUGGUUUAUGUGUGAUAUUUACUCUCAUUAGUAUCAACAUAGAAAUUGAAUGCUUGGAAAUUGCUUUCUGAAUAGAAGAUAUUGCACUUCUAAUCUUGUUAUUGCAUUGCUUCAGAUAGCUGCUGAGGUCACAAGCUUCAUAUGAAAGGCUCUGGUGCAGAAAAAAAAAAAAACUUUUCUUUUUAGUCUCGAGUGUUUGAGACAUAAAUUAAUUUUGAGACCUAAAUUAAUUUGGGGCGAAAAGAGUCCAAAAUAGCAUGUCAGUCCAAAUCACACAAUUUUGAAUGAACCACUGAUUAAGAUAGAGCUCAGAUCCAUCAGCCGAGCUGAGGCCAGUAAACAGCUGUGUCUGUAAACAGCUGUGCUCCAAUCUAGUCAAGUGGGUUUAAAUGGACACCUGAGGGUGACCUGCACAUGCUUGGAACAGAUGGGCCAAGAACCUGAACCGUUUUCUAAUAAGUCUUGGAGUAGGAGCUCAGCAGGACAAGCUAUCACCUCGCUCACAGCUCUCCAAUGCCCUGAUUCCUGAAUUUCUAGGGGGAAAAUUUAACUGGGUGUAUCAAAUGUUUGCUUCCAUAUGCAAUGUUCAGCUGAAUCAAGCUGUAAUUCACUUGUAAUUAUUGCUGAUCAUAUUCCUGAUUGUAAAAUAUUUCGUGAUCAUCAAAUAUUUCCUGAUUAUCCACAAUAUUGUUGCUUUUUUAAUUUUUUAAAUAGAAGAAAAUGUUUGCUGAAUUCAUAUACGUAGAAGAUAUGUGAAUGAGAGUGUUUGCUGCUCCCUUUCACUUUGUUUCUUUUCAGUGCCAAAAAUGCUUAAAAAGAAAUGAGAAAAAGUUUGGUUAUACAGUAAUGAACAAAAAAAAAAGUGAGGGUGGUUGCAAUCUUUGGUCUUAAUAUAGACAUCAAAUAGUACUUCAAAAAAGCCACUUAGCAAGAAACAACAGUCCCAGUAGUUCCUUGCUACUUCAGUUCUUCAUAUUCCAUGUUACUAUAAUCAUAAACUGGAAGUAGAAGUUUUAGGGUGGGAGUUUUCAAGGAAUACCAUCUUCAAAAAUGUUACCAACUCCAUGAAAAAAAGUAAGUUCAGAUAUUUGGUGGAAGGCCGGGAAAGAAGAAAAUAUAUUUCAUGCAUAUGUCUAUUAAGCUGCUAUACUUGUAUAAGAGAAAACUAAGCUUGUGCCAAAUUUCAACAUUUCUCCAGCAAUUUACUAUUUUCCAGUAGAAAAAUCUAUGAGCUGUUAAUUUUUCUUUAGUGAAUUUGGGGAAUUUUUUUUUUUAUUAACUAUUUUGUAAGCUCAUGAUUACAUUUCUGGGCUGAAAUAACUGAACUGGGAUCAAAAAUUGACUCAUUAAAAAGGCUUCCAUUUUCUUUAAAUGUACAUAUAGUUAGUAAGGGCCAUUAAACAUUACAUUUUAUCACCAAUAUGUGCUCUGGCCCUCCAAAUUUGAAAUAAGCUGCAAAAAAAAAAAAAAAAAAGAGAUCAUUAGGCAGCUCUGCUUCUUGUGGGUUUUUCUCUUGCUGCCAGCAUCUUUAAAAAUGAGCUUGUCAUUCCACAGGUGGGACAGUGAGGUGUUAUCUUGGCUACUGUGGUGCAGCAAGCUGCAUCUUCAGGGUAUUACAUGUCAAUUUUUAAUAUACAGCCUUCUCAGGCUGCACCUCUAACUAUGCUAAGUAUUCACUUUGAUGCUCUGAGGAGAGGCAGGUAUGCCAGCUCUGCUCUUGGCUUUUCUUGUCAAUGCUGACACCUAGAUCUUAUUCUUUUCUAGCUGCUGUUUCAUUUCCUGGGAGCUGUCUCUGCAGAACUAGUACCCAGCUGCUGGGGUACUCCAAAAAUGCAGAAGUACCAAGAGAAAAUCAGGCUUGAAUGGAAGCAUAUUUCUCUUUACAAGGACAGAUUUCUAGAAAGCAACGUUCUCAUCUGGGUGCAGCCACAAAAUCUUCCCAGGAAGACAUCUGUUUCUAUCAGCUGAAUGUGCAGUGAUCCACUUCAUCACACAAUCAAAAAGCAGGCUGGAGCCCUGCUGCGAUGCCACCGCCACGUUGUGAUCUGAGUCUCCUGGAACAAUAAUCAUCCAGAGCCACCCUCACUGCAGAUGCUAGGACUGGCAUCCUUUAAGUUAUGUUCCUUCCAUGCCUGAUGUUCCUGCUGGCUUGGGAUCCAAGUCUGCACUUCAGACUGUGUUUGUUAAGAAAAUUCCUUCACACAGACAAGCAGCAAGCAAACACUCUAUAUGCAGGACCAAGAUGCUCACAGUUGUGUCUACCUUUCAAGGAGUCUGACUCCACAUUCCCUACCCACUGAUGUAAAUGUUUUCUUUUUAGCAUAACUUAAGUUGUUUAAUUACAGCAUGAAAACAUUAGGCAUAUGUUCAAUUUCCAGUUAUUAUCAGUGUCAUUUUCUUGUUUGGUUUAUGUGCCACAAAGGUUCUUUUUUUAAAAAAUGUCAUUUUGUUUUGACAUUCCAGGUUCUGCAUAUUUUGAGCUGUGCUGUUGCCAGUGCUCUGUGGGUGUUUGGUCUCUGGGAACCCUCUGAACUAAAUAAAUGCCUCAUCACUGA